GGAGGGUGCAAGCGUUGUUCGGGAUUACUGGGCGUAAAGCGCGUGUAGGUGGUUGAGUAAGUCGAAUGUGAAAGCCCCGGGCUCAACCCGGGAAGUGCAUCCGAAACUGCUCGACUAGAGUCCCGGAGAGGAAGGCAGAAUUCCCAAUGUAGGGGUGAAAUCCGUAGAUAUUGGGAGGAAUACCGGUGGCGAAGGCGGCUUUCUGGACGGUGCCUGACACUCAGACGCGAAAGCGUGGGGAGCAAACAGGAUUAGAUACCCUGGUAGUCCACGCUGUAAACGUUGCGAACUAGGUGUCGGGGGUAUUCACCCCUCCGGUGCCGCAGCUAACGCAUUAAGUGCCCCGCCUGGGGAGUACGACCGCAAGGUUG
rnacentral:rRNA from 1 species